GACGAACGCUGGCGGCGUGCUUAACACAUGCAAGUCGAACGGAAAGGCCCUGCUUUUGUGGGGUGCUCGAGUGACGAACGGGUGAGUAACACGUGAGUAACCUGCCCUUGACUUUGGGAUAACUUCAGGAAACUGGGGCUAAUACCGGAUAGGAGCUCCUGCUGCAUGGUGGGGGUUGGAAAGUUUCGGCGGUUGGGGAUGGACUCGCGGCUUAUCAGCUUGUUGGUGGGGUAGUGGCUUACCAAGGCUUUGACGGGUAGCCGGCCUGAGAGGGUGACCGGCCACAUUGGGCCUGAGAUACGGCCCAGACUCCUACGGGAGGCAGGAGUGGGGAAUUUUGCACAAUGGGCGGAAGCCUGAUGCAGCAACGCCGCGUGCGGGAUGACGGCCUUCGGGUGGUAAACCGCUUUCGCCUGUGACGAAGCGUGAGUGACGGUAAUGGGUAAAGAAGCACCGGCUAACUACGU
rnacentral:rRNA from 1 species